rnacentral:rRNA from 1 species
UACAGAGGUCCCGAGCGUUGUUCGGAAUUACUGGGCGUAAAGCGCACGUAGUCGGCUUUGUAAGUCGGUUGUGAAAUCCCCGGGCUCAACCUGGGAACUGCAUCCGAGACUGCAUUGCUAGAGUAUGGGAGAGGAAAGCGGAAUUUCUGGUGUAGCAGUGAAAUGCGUAGAUAUCAGGAGGAACACCAAUUGCGAAGGCAGCUCGCUGGGACGUUACUGACGCUGAGACGCGAAAGCGUGGGGAGCAAACAGG